AAAAUACCUCUCUUCAUAAUAGAAUCACUUCCAAAUUUUGUUCCUUCAAUAAAUCACGAUUUGCUGCCAGGCGAAACUCUCGUCCUUCAAUUAUUUGUUGACCCAAGGAAAGAUAGGUACACACUGGGGUAGCUAUAUUACAAGGUUACAACUGAUCGAAUGGGAAAGGUUUGAGAGUUGCUGAAGCCAUUUGCCAUGCCUUCACUGACGCUGUGACACUCACUCCUGUGGCAUUGUUAAACAAAAACACUCUUGCUGCACUGUAAAUUGCUCUGGUUGGAUAAACUCGUGACGUUAUAACUGUUCUACCUCCUUGAGCAAAACUUUCAACAAUGGAAUGAUCCACCUAAAUUUUGUUUACAGAUAUAUUUCAGGCUCAUGUGCAUAAAAUUCAAAUUUGGAUUCAUUCACAUACCCCUAAAUGCUAAUAUUAGUAAUUUUGAUAAAGUUUGUUUUCUUAAUUAAUUUUGAACUUCAGGUAUGGCAGUAAUAGAUUCAAAAAUCAGGGAUAAUUCAUAAGUCUAACUUAGCCUGUCUAUUCUUUAAGACAUAUUGUGAUUAAAGUAAACUUUCACAUACCAAUAAUCUCAUGGAUAAGCUUUCACCAGGGAGCACGGGAACAUCACUACCAUAAACCUCUUUAUCAACAUCAGAAGCAGUUGAUGAUCUGCAUUACAUGACUUCGCUUAUUCAUUAAAAUGCAACAUUAAACAGAACGCAAAUGACUACUCCCUCCGUCUCAAUUUAUAGGCCCCUUUUGAAAAAUAAAUUUGUCCCAAAAUACUUGUCCCUCUCUUCUUUCAAUACAAAUUUAUCUAUAAAAUUAGCAGCCUAAGGUGACCCCACCAGAUGUAUAUAACUGGAACUUGUACACAGAUCAUGUGAUCAUCCAAAUAAUAUCUUUAAACUGAACCAGUUCAAAAUUGUAAAAUAUUCUAAUUGAUCUACUUUCAGAUUCAUUUGUAUCAUAAUUUAUAAUGCAUACCUUCAAAGUGGCAAGUAGAUUAUAAUAAUGAAAAAAAAACAAGAUGGGCCCAAUAAAAAUUCACUAUAUAUUCCAAAUUUCACUCUUCACUAUAUAUUGCAAAUUUCACUCAGAUUGGAAUACAACACAAAUAAUCAUCAAAAAAGAAAAGAAUACAAUACAUAUAUGCAAUAGGGACAAGCCUAUCUUUCUAACCUUCUGGUUGCAACUUGCAAGUCCAUCAUAAAAAAUACCUCUCUUCAUAAUAGAAUCACUUCCAAAUUUUGUUCCUUCAAUAAAUCACGAUUUGCUGCCAGGCGAAACUCUCGUCCUUCAAUUAUUUGUUGACCCAAGGAAAGAUAGGUACACACUGGGGUAGCUAUAUUACAAGGUUACAACUGAUCGAAUGGGAAAGGUUUGAGAGUUGCUGAAGCCAUUUGCCAUGCCUUCACUGACGCUGUGACACUCACUCCUGUGGCAUUGUUAAACAAAAACACUCUUGCUGCACUGUAAAUUGCUCUGGUUGGAUAAACUCGUGACGUUAUAACUG
rnacentral:lncRNA from 1 species